rnacentral:precursor_RNA from 1 species
GAAACCCUGGAAUUAAAAAUGGGCAAUCCUGAGCCAAAUCCUUUUUCCGAAAACAAAAAGGGGGGUAGGUGCAGAGACUCAAUGGAAGCUGUUCUAACAAAUGGAGUUGACUACGUUGCGUUAGUAAAGGAAUGAAUGGAAUGAAUCCUUCCAUCGAAACUCCAGAAAAGAUGAAAGAUAAACGUAUUACGUACUGAAAUACUAUUUGAUUAAUGACGACCCGAAUCUCUAUUUUUUAUAUUUAUAUUUUUAUAUAAAAUAUAAAAAAAUAUAAAAAUGAACGAAUUGUUAUGAAUCGAUUCCAAUAUCUCCAAGUUGAAAAAAGAAUCGAAUAUUCAUUGAUCAAAUCAUUUACUCCAUCAUACAUAGUCUGAUAGAUCUUUUGAAGAACUGAUUAAUCAGAUGCGAAUAGAAUAAAGAUAGAGUCCCAUUCUACAUGUCAAUACCGACAAAAAUGAAAUUUAUAGUAAGAGGAAAAUCCGUCGACUUUAAAAAUCGUGAGGGU